UCAGAAAUAAAGAGAUGCCACUGAUAAAUCAUCUGGCUUUAUCAUCUUCUGAAUUUGACACAAUCCUCUGCGUGCCAAAUUUUGGCUGAUCAUCGUGAUUGAGAUGAAUGAGGAACAAGUCACUCUGCCUUUCUGCUUGAGAGGACACUGAGGAUAUCGCCCACAAUGACGACCACAGAGACAGCAACCAGCAGCUCAUUGUUUGUGAGGAAGGCUCUGUGUUUAUUGUUUGUUGUCUCAAGCAAUUUCUUCUUACAAUUGGUCUGUGUCAAGCAAAUUCUUAUUAAAAUGAAUCUGUGAGCAACUGUUAAAA